UUCUUUCUCUCCCUCUCUCUCUCUCUCUCUCUCUCUCUCUCACACACACACACACACACACACAGAGAGAGAGAGAGAGAGAGGGAGAGAGAGAGAGAGAGAGAGAGAAAGAG